ensembl:lncRNA
GGGGUGACCAGUCCUCUAUUGGCUGUACUGGGUAGAGAGGAACCAGGCUCUGAGGGGUGACCAGUCCUCUACUGACUGUACUGGGUAGAGAGGAACCAGGCUCUGAGGGGUGACCAGUCCUCUACUGGCUGUACUGGGUAGACCAGAGGAACCAGGCUCUGAGGGGUGACCAGUCCUCUACUGACUGUACUGGGUAGAGAGGAACCAGGCUCUGAGGGGUGACCAGUCCUCUACUGGCUGUACUGGGUAGACCAGAGGAACCAGGCUCUGAGGGGUGACCAGUCCUCUACUGACUGUACUGGUGGAGAGAGGAACCAGGCUCUGAGGGGUGACCAGUCCUCUACUGGCUGUACUGGGUAGACCAGAGGAACCAGGCUCUGAGGGGUGACCAGUCCUCUACUGACUGUACUGGUGGAGAGAGGAACCAGGCUCUGAGGGGUGACCAGUCCUCUACUGGCUGUACUGGGUAGAGAGGAACCAGGCUCUGAGGGGUGACCAGUCCUCUACUGACUGUACUGGUGGAGAGAUUAGUUGACACCCAGUGUUGUUUAAUAUAUUGGACGAGCUCAGAGGAAGGUAUAUUGUAUAUCAACAUU